GACGAACGCUGGCGGCGUGCCUAAUACAUGCAAGUCGAGCGGACGAAUCGAAAGCUUGCUUUUGAUUCGUUAGCGGCGGACGGGUGAGUAACACGUGGGCAACCUGCCCUGUAGACGGGGAUAACACCGAGAAAUCGGUGCUAAUACCGGAUAACACGAAAUGUCGCAUGACGUUUCGUUGAAAGACGGCGCAAGCUGCCGCUACAGGAUGGGCCCGCGGCGCAUUAGCUAGUUGGUGAGGUAACGGCUCACCAAGGCGACGAUACGUAGCCGACCUGAGAGGGUGAUCGGCCACACUGGGACUGAGAUACGGCCCAGACUCCUACGGGAGGCAGCAGUAGGGAAUCUUCCGCAAUGGACGAAAGUCUGACGGAGCAACGCCGCGUGAGCGAAGAAGGCCUUCGGGUCGUAAAGCUCUGUUGUUAGGGAAGAACAAGUAACGCAGUAACUGGCGUUACCGUGACGGUACCUAACGAGAAAGCCACGGCUAACUACGUG
rnacentral:rRNA from 1 species